ACCAUGCGUACGUAGCUGCAAGAACGAUGACGGUUAAUUUCUAUCUAAAGCAUUCUUGAAGAAAAUAACCAAGGGUUUUUGCAACUCGCAAUAAAACUACUAGUUUCCCUUUCACCACUGCCAAACACACUGGCUCACAUGACCAUCGCACCACAAUUGUCUUGAAAAUGGAAAAACGUUACAAACCAAUUCUAAUAGCACUAAACAUGUAAUAUUUACACGCAAUAGAAAGAUUAAGGUUGCUAAAGAAACACCAAACAAAAACUAGACGACUGGUUGAGAGAAGACAGCCAAUUGUGAACGAUUGUGAAUGGAAUGCCAGUUGUCUUCCAAUUAUUUCCUUCGUCAGCCAAGCAAUUUUCUUCUUUUUUUGUCGGGUGUUUAUUUUCAGUCACCUUUGCCUGGUCGGCAAUUUCGCCUAAGUACCCAAAUGUAGUUUUGUGUAGGUUUCCCAUUUUUCCCUCUAAAUUUGGUUGCGCCCUAGCCAUUUUGAGAAUAGCUUCAUUUUCAUUUUCUUUAGUUUUUUUCUUCUUCUAAAGUGAGCUCUUCUUCGCACAUUUUACCUUUUUCACUCAGCUCAUCUUCUUCAUUUUUGUCCCUGGCGCACUGUCAAUUUGAGAUUGCUUUCUAGCCUCUAUAUUUCUUUGUGGAUAAUCGUUGAAAAGUUUUUUCAUGUGGUUUUCCUCUGUUUUUGCAGCAUUUAUUCUAUUCUCAGUAAAGCCAGCCACAGUUUGAUUCUUUCGCAUAUUUUUCUGAUUUUGUUGAAAAAGAAUUUGUUCAUAAUCUGGUGGUGUAUUCAUAUAAUCAAAAAAGUUCUCAACAUUCUUUAUCCAAUCGAGGAAAGUUUCUAAGUCUGAAUUGCCACUUAAUGAAGGUAUGUGGACUUUAUCUUCUUGUCUUUCUUCUUGGACUUGCUCAUAAUAUUUACGAAAAUAUCGCCUUCCUGCUCGAAUUGGUCUAUCGCUUUCUCUUUCAAAUGAAAAACUUCUUUCUGUCACUAUUUGGGCAGGUAUUUUUCGUUCAUCUCUUAUGUUUUCCUCUCCUCGUUGAGGAAGGUUCAUCAUGUCUUGAUAUUUUUGUCACCGUUGUAUUUAAUUUGUCCAUCCUUGUUAUGCUGCUCCAAACUGCAUUAGAAUCUUCACCGGAAUCGCUAGAAUCACUAUAGUCAAAUUUAAGUGUGGAUAAUAAUGGGUUCUUUGAGAAAAUCGAGCAUGGGUGUAAUUAUUAUGUUGAAAUCCUUCUAAAUCACUUGAGUCAGAAUUCCAAUGCUGCUUUCGGGAGGAAAUUUGACUUUCUUGCCUAUACGAAAUGCUACAUUUUUUCUUCGUUGUCUUCCUUGAUCGAUAAUAGUCCAUUCUUCCAAAAUUUUGAUAUAUCUUUGUUUUUUUCUUAUAGAAUUUUAAGGGUUCCCCCUAUUAGAUGUGUGUUGUUCAGCAACGAGCACAACUCACAAAGCUCCCUCUUGUGAUCGGUGUCAUAAAGUGUUUCCCGAUCUUCCACUGGUAGCAAUCAACGUUGGCCCAAACAGCUGCUUUCAUACCAAUUUGAUGUAACUCAAAUAAGAGAAUUAUAUUAAUAUUUAAAAGUUGUGAAUACAAGAAUACAAGUACUCUAUUUAUGGCAAA